AACUACAGGGCUGCAUGAGAGCAAACUUCAGUUCCCCUUGCUUGGAGCCAUGGCCCGAAGUUCUGUGGAGGAAAUCCAGGACAAAAAGAGCUAGAUGGCAGCUGGAUGACAGAAAUGUUCUACAAAUGAGGGAUUCUGUGAUUUGACCAGUUGUGUUUGAGCUGCACCUUGGGGGCAGAAGCAUCCUCAGAGAUGGAUGCUCUAACCACCAUAUAGAGCAGAACCAUAAAUAUCCUUUUCCAGCACUGGAGCUGCAGUUACAGUAUAGUGAAAUCUAUCAUCUCACUCAUAUAAGCUGCAAUCUGUCUGCAUCGGAAAAUGACCCAGAACUUUCUACCCACAGUGACUGGAUUCAAUUAUGGUUUUAAUUUAAGAGAUUUGAUGCAUAUA